rnacentral:rRNA from 1 species
CCUACGGGAGGCAGCAGUGAGGAAUAUUGGUCAAUGGGCGAGAGUCUGAACCAGCCAUGCUGCGUGCAGGAUGACGGCUCUAUGAGUUGUAAACUGCUUUUAUACAGGGGUAAAGCUAGAUACGUGUUUUCUGCUGUAUGUACUAUACGAAUAAGCAUCGGCUAACUCCGUGCCAGCAGCCGCGGUAAUACGGAGGAUCCAAGCGUUAUCCGGAUUUAUUGGGUUUAAAGGGUGCGUAGGGGGUUUGAUAAGUUAGCGGUGAAAGGUUGGAGCUGAACCAGAAAAUUGCCGUUAAAACUGGUGAACUAGAGAAUAGAUGAGGUAGGCGGAAUGCAUGGUGUAGCGGUGAAAUGCAUAGAGAUCAUACAGAACACCGAUUGCGAAGGCAGCUUACCAAGCUAUAUCUGACAGUGAGGCACGAAAGCGUGGGGAGCAAACAGGAUUAGAUACCCUUGUAGUC